rnacentral:lncRNA from 1 species
AGCGAGAGGGGCGGCGGCAGGGGGGGGGGUUCCGCCUCUUCUCCUUCAGUAUUAAUGUCGCAUCGACGGAACUGAGGCUCCCUGAUUAAUCUUGCUCACAUACCUACAAAGGCACGCACGUUAGGGCGCGUGGACCAGUCAGACGGCCGUGCUGCCGUUGCCGCCGCCGCCGCCGCCGCUCUUGGCGCGCACACGGAUCGCACACGCCGCCGCCACCGCCGCUGAAGUGCUUCCUUCUCCCACAUCCCAGGAUUAGCCGCCUGCGCCGCCGCCUCUGCCUCUCUCUUGCAUCCUCCCCCCCCUCGUCAUGUUUUGACUUCUGCCUUGCCUUGGGUGCUUCUGGGCUCCGAUUUGCUUGCCUGCUUCUCGUCUCCACGGGGAAGGGGCCGAAAGAAAGACAGCCCUCCUACUGAAAAGAUGAGCAACCCAUUACUGAAGCUUUCAAAACCAUACAAAUUACCUUCCUGGAUAUAAACAUGUAGACAGUAGCACUCCAGCCAUCCCUUCAGGAUUCCUGAGGAAAAGGUCUGCAGCGGAAACAUCAUGAAAAGUAAUGUAACAUUAUCAUAUGAUUACCAACUUUUUGAAAAAGCUUGU